AAUGUGAGGGGUUUAAAUAGCCCAGUUAGAAAGAAGGCGUUGAGGGAGUUUGUAGACUCUUUGCGUGUGGCGAUCGUUUGUAUUGUGGAAUCUAAAUUAGAAGAUGUUGAUCAGUAUAUCAUCUUGCAAUGCUUAGGACCGUCCUAUGAUGGAUUUGCGUACCUCCCGGCUACCGAGACUAGAGGAGGGAUCUUGGUGGGUUGG
rnacentral:rRNA from 1 species